CCUACGGGAGGCAGCAGUGAGGAAUAUUGGUCAAUGGCCGGGAGGCUGAACCAGCCAAGUCGCGUGAGGGAAGACGGCCCUACGGGUUGUAAACCUCUUUUGUCAGGGAGCAAGGUGCAGGUCGGGACCUGCUGUGAGAGUACCUGAAGAAAAAGCAUCGGCUAACUCCGUGCCAGCAGCCGCGGUAAUACGGAGGAUGCGAGCGUUAUCCGGAUUUAUUGGGUUUAACGGGUGCGCAGGUGGAGGCACAAGUCAGCGGUAAAAUCGCGGGGCUCAACCCCGCUCCGCCGUUGAAACUGUGUGCCUUGAGUGCGCGAAGGGUAGGCGGAAUGCGUGGUGUAGCGGUGAAAUGCAUAGAUAGCACGCAGAACUCCGAUCGCGAAGGCAGCCUACCGGCGCGCAACUGACGCUGAUGCACGAAAGCGUGGGUAUCGAACAGGAUUAGAUACCCUGGUAGUC
rnacentral:rRNA from 1 species